UGGUCUUUUUUUUCUUGUUAUAUUCACCUUUUUCUAAUGAAAAAUGAUGAUGUUUAGUUUGGUUUUUCGUUGUGGUAGUAUAAUUUGGGUUUUAUGCACUAGAAGUGUAUCAUAAUAAAGUAUUGCUAAGGGAUAAAAUCAGUAAGGAAGUAAUGUAAUCUUCUUUCUGACUUUUAUGGCAAGUGCUAACUGUGGUUAUCAAUGUUACUGUUAAAACCAUCAUUUUUUUAAUUUGUGUAUCUUACAUAUAUGUUAAAUAUGUAAUAAAGUGUCACUACUUUUUAGCACUUAUCAUUUGAUGUUAUCCAACAUCUACAUUCAUAUAAGUUCAUGCUAAUGUGUGAAACUGUAGGGAACUUUUACUAUCAUUCAAGAAAUGUUAUCUAAUACAUUAUCAGGAACAAAGUAAGUGAAGGACAAUUAUACCAGGUUUUACUAUACAAGCUUGAUGCCAUCCACAAGGCUUGUGCAUCUUUGGAACCUAGUUACCAACCACCAGUAACAUUUGUAGUAGUUCAAAAGUGGCAUCACACUAGACUCUUUGCAAACAAUCACGAUGAUAACUUGCCAGAAGUCCAAAGGGCAGUACAUGCCAAUGUCUCCAAACUCUCCUAUCCAUGGACUCAUUUAGCCUUGUGGGACCUUGGAAAGAUUCACCAUUGUCCAUCCUUCUUGUCAACAAGAAGCUUGUUGCUGGUGGUCUUCGCAUUUGGGUUUACAAGUCAACUCAAGCCCUUAUAAAGAUGGAUGGAUAAUUAAAGUUGAACUAAGUGACAAUAGUGAACUUAACUAUUGUAGCUCUUUUUUGUUUUAUUUUGCUCUGUACUUUUGUUGAUUAUGCGGGUUCAAUUGGUGAGAAUUGAAGUUAGAGUGCCUAGGUAUUGUUGGACAAUGCAAAAAAUUUUCUUUUAGCUGAGGUGUUUGGAUUGCACAAGUUAGUUUUUCUUUUGUAGCCUAAGCUUUUAUCCCGUCUUUAUAUAUA